GAGGAACAAUUAGAAAGAUGGAGGCACGCACUGGAAAAGAGAGGAAUGAAGAUUAGCCAAAGUAAAACAGAAUAUAUGUGCAUGAAUGAUAGGGGUGAAGGGGGAAGAGUGAGGCUCCGGGGAGAAGAGAUAGCGAAGCUGGAUGACUUCAUAUACUUGGGGUCAACAAUACAGAGCAAUUGAGAGUGUGGUAAGGAAGUGAAGAAACAGGUCCAAGCGGGGUGGAACAGCCUGUGGAAGGUGUCUGGUGUUCUAUGUGACAGAAGAGUCUCCGCAAGGAUGAAGGGCAAAGUCUAUAAAAUAGUGGUGAGCUCAGCCAUGAUGUACGGACUAGAGACGGUGUCACUGAAGAAACAACACGAAGCAGAACGGGAGGUAGCAGAAAUGAAGAUGUCAUGGUCCUGUCGGUCCCAGCCUUGGCUGUGUAGGUCCCCUACACACCUGCAUUGAUUGAGGCGCACACCUGCACCUCAACGGUGAUAAUGAACCCCAGUACUUAUAGGACCCAGCGGACGGUCUGUCUUUGCCAGAUCGUUGCCAUCCAUGCCUCGUUCCAGCACUUCUUUGUUCCUGAUCCUAAACCCCUCUGCCUGUCCUCCGACCAACCCCGGCUUGUGCUUGCAGGUGGGGUCCAGCACUCGUAGCUUGGUCAUGAAGCUUUUGUACUCCCGUUCCAAGGCCUCCAACUUCUGCUGGAACUCAGCUAUCUUCCUCUCGGGGUAAUGUGCAAGUUGGGAUUGCUGAGAGGUGAAAGCAAAGAUGACAGCUGCUUUUCCACUGAAAAUGUCAACAACCAAAGUCUGUUCAAGCGUCCUUGUUGCUUCUCUUCAUUUCGAGCCAUUUUCAACAGCCCUAAACAAGAUGGAAUGUAAACAAAGUCACGUGAUGCAAAAGUCAUGUGAGGUACUCCGCCUCUCGUGGGAGUAUCGCGAG